GAUCCUGGCUCAGGAUGAACGCUAGCUACAGGCUUAACACAUGCAAGUCGAGGGGAAACGACAUCGAAAGCUUGCUUUUGAUGGGCGUCGACCGGCGCACGGGUGAGUAACGCGUAUCCAACCUGCCCAUCACUUGGGAAUAACCUUGCGAAAGUAAGACUAAUGCCCAAUGAUAUCCCACGAAGGCAUCCGAAUGGGAUUAAAGGUUUACCGGUGUAAGAUGGGGAUGCGUUCCAUUAGAUAGUAGGCGGGG
rnacentral:rRNA from 1 species